GAAAUCCGUACUGUCUCAGAAUUGAUCGGAUUAGAUCAGGCAGAUCGAUAGAUAUAGAAUCGUGCGAGUAUAAUAGAAUUGAAAAAAGUUGUAAAAGCCAUUACACAACAAAGCAGAGCAUAAAAAAUGGAUAUAUUUUUAUUAUGGAAUUUCUUUUUUAAUAACGAUGAGAAUAAUGAUCGGGAAAUAGCACAUAGAAGAGAACAACAUCUCAAAAUCAAUAAUUUCUUUAAAAUUAUUGUUCCUUUGUAUUCAUUAACAGAUCCGUUGCAGAUCGAUUUGGAACGUCUAAAGACACUAUAUGGAGAUGUGUUUUUAAUGUCGCUUACACGCUAGAGCAACAUGUUCAAAAUUAUAUUAAAUGGCCACAAAUUCAGGAGACAUUAAAUAUACAAGAACAGUUUGCUGCAAUUAGUAAUUUCCCAGGUGUGGUGGGCGUUAUUGAUGGUUGCCACAUUCCUAUUAGUGCUCCUAUUGAACAUCCAAAUAAUUACAUUAAUAGAAAA